CAGAUACGCUGGCGGCAUGCCAACACAUGCAGUUGAGACGAGCUUUAUUUUUAGGAAUUUAAGUUCAGUACGAACGGUGAGUAACAUGUAAGAACCUACCUUUAGGAGAGGAAUAACUACUGGAAACGGUGGCUAAAACCUCAUAAGCUGCGGAGUAAAAAGUGAAAACUGCCUAAAGAUGGGCUUGCAUCUGAUUAGCUUGUUGGUGAAUUAAUUGUUUACCAAGGCAACGAUCAGUAGUUGGUCUAAGAGGAUGAUCAACCACACUGGGACUGAGACACGGCCCAGACCUAUACGGAGGGCAGCAGUGAGGAAUUUUCCGCAAUGGGCGAAAGCCUGACGGAGCAAUGCCGCGUGGAUGAUGAAGGCUUUUGAGUCGUAAAGUUCUUUUCUUAGCGAAGAAAAUAGACGGUAGCUGAGGAAUAAGCAUCGGCUAAUUCCGUGCCAGCAGCCGCGGUAAUACGGAAGAUGCAAGCGUUAUUCGGAAUUAUUGGGCGUAAAGCGUCUGUAGGUGGCUUUUAAAGUCUACUGUAAAAUGUCAAGGCUUAACCUUGAAAAAGCUGUAUGAAAAUAAAAGGCUGAAGUUAGAAGAGGUAAAGG
rnacentral:rRNA from 1 species